rnacentral:lncRNA from 1 species
GGAGCUUCACCGUUCUGCAAAUUCAGUGCACUAGUGACAUCGGUCCUCUUCGCAGUUAAAAUUCCAGAUCGUGUCACAAAUUCAAUAGCAUUCUUGUCCACCAAACCAGAUGAAAGUAGUGUAUGUGCAGCUGCUAGUGUGGCAUGGCCACAAAGAUUGACCUGUGUACCUCAGCAACAGGAGUAAACCAUCUAAGACCAAAACGAGGAAUAGAGGUUCCAUGAAUAGGAGUCAAAUAACAUGUUUCAGAGAUGUUGAAUUCAGCAGCUACUAAUUGCAACCAUUCAUCAUCUUUAUCUUCUUCUAGUAAACACACUGCUGCUGGAUUCCCUUUGAAUGCUGAAUCUGU